rnacentral:rRNA from 1 species
AACGAACGCUGGCGGCAUGCCUAACACAUGCAAGUCGAACGAGACCUUCGGGUCUAGUGGCGCACGGGUGCGUAACGCGUGGGAACCUGCCCUUAGGUUCGGAAUAACUCCCCGAAAGGGGUGCUAAUACCGGAUAAUGUCUUCGGACCAAAGAUUUAUCGCCUUUGGAUGGGCCCGCGUUGGAUUAGCUAGUUGGUAGGGUAAAAGCCUACCAAGGCGACGAUCCAUAGCUGGUCUGAGAGGAUGAUCAGCCACACUGGGACUGAGACACGGCCCAGACUCCUACGGAAGGCAGCAGUGGGGAAUAUUGGACAAUGGGCGAAAGCCUGAUCCAGCAAUGCCGCGUGAGUGAUGAAGGCCUUAGGGUUGUAAAGCUCUUUUACCCGGGAUGAUAAUGACAGUACCGGGAAAAUAAGCUCCGGCUAACUCCGUG